rnacentral:lncRNA from 10 species
GACGCUGCCCGGCGCGGUGGGGCUGUGAGCAAAACGGCCCGCCGGUGUGGUUGCCCAGACUGUGCUGGGCCCUCCUAGGUGGAUGGCCCUGCCCCAGCCUAACUUCUGUACCCCAGCAUAACCUCCAAAGUAACAGCCGUGCCCUGGGAGCCUGUUCAACACUGAACAUAUCCCACAAUAACACUGUUCCAGCGUCGCUGGUAAAAAGCAGAAAUGGCUUCGCUGGAGGCAUCGACAAAUCUAAUGCAGUAACCUCAUUUUACAGAAGAGAACUCUAAGAGGAUAACUAACUUGGCCAAGAUCACAUGAAGAAUCUCUUCCUUCUUCUACUGGUUCAUCCAUACAAAGUACAACCUACCCACAGGAAUCUCACUCAUACCAAACAUUUUCCAUCUGACUGGAAGGCUGACACCUGUUCCUGAGUGAUGUUUCUGGAUGAGAUUAGCAUUCAAAUUCGUGGACUCAUUAAAGUAGAUGGCUCUCUCCAAUAUGGGUGGGCAUCAUCCAAUCUGUUGAAGGCGUGAAGAGAACAAGAGAAGGAGGAAGGAAGAAUUCACCUUUUUUCUUGCUGCCCACCUGCUUGGGCUGGGACAUUGCAUCUCACCUUCUCCAGCCUUUGGAUGAGGAUUUACACCCUGGUUCUCAGGCCUUCAGGCUCUAACUGGAGCUACACUAUCAACUUUCCUGGGCCUCCAGAUUGCAGAUGGUGGAUCACGGUACUUUUUAGCCUCCAUCAUAAUAUGAGAAAAAAGAGGCACAGUGAAGCUAAAUAUAUUGGCUAAAGAUCACAAAGCUAAGAAGAUUAUCAAGGUUAUCUGUGCUCAAUGUGUGCAUCUCAGAUCAGCAGCAUCAGCAUCACCUGGGAGCUUGUUAGAGCUGGAGACUCUCAGGCUCCACGGCAGACUUCCUGAAUCAGAAGCUACAAUUUAACAGGAUCCUCGGGUGAUCUGAAAAUGCAAUAAAGUUUGGGAAGCACUGCUGUUGGUCAUUAGACAAUCUAAUGAACUAAGACUUUUGCCGAGCAUCUGAGUUGAAAUUUUUCAAGAUGAAAAGUUGCUAAAGAAAGAGAAAGGGAAGCGGUUUGCUCCAGUAUUCCUCUUUCCACCUUCCCACUGACUGGGAAGCGGCGGUUAGCAGAGCCACAGUCUUGGAUUAGAGAUAAGAGGGACAUGUUGAGGAAGGUGGAGUCUCCCCCACAGCCCUGGACCAGGCUCCAGUGCCAACAAAAGCCAAGAAGAACCUCUGGAGCAAUCAGUCUUACGGAAUCCCUGUAUUCUAGGAUUUGGCAAGCUGUCCACUGAAACAUUAUUUUUCCCAGCCUUCUUUGCAGAGGUGGGGAAACUGAGGCAAAGGGUGUUUAAAUGGUCUGCCCAAAGUCACACAGCUAAGAAGCAGUGAUGGGAUAUGAAGUCAAACAGUCUUAAAAGCAAGCUAUCCUGUUGCAAAAUAGAAAUUAGUUGAUAACGUCUUCCAGGAGACCUACGGCCAUCCUACUGAUAUGAACCAGAUCAUACCUGCCCUGAUGGGAUGCCAGAGAAAGACUGCUGCAAGGGAUCCUCUGGAAACAGAACAGAGGGAAGAAGAUACCUUCCCUGAAGCCCAGAUGUUCCAGAAGCCUGCGCCUCAUUCACAAAGUCACCCCAAAAAUGCCCUAGAGUUUGGAGUUUUGAAGAAGCGGGAAGAAGGCCUGAGUAAGGGCCUGGGAACCAAGUUAGAUCCUACUUCAGCAUCAGCACAUGCCAGCGAUGGUGCACACAGGUGGAGAGCGGCCUGCCCGUCUUUUCCAUGGUGCCCACAGACCCAUUUAGGAUGAAAGAUCAGAAAAUUCUCUCCAUGUCACCGCUUCUGAAACAUGUGAAUAUUAAUAUUUGGUGCCUAAAAGGCCAUGGCAAAUUUUCAUUGGUUUUAUCUUAUUCAUGAUUAUAGAGUUGAAAGAAUACAUAUUCCCAUGGGGAUCAAUGAAGACAUUCUCAUUUUGAAUGAAGUAGAAUAUAAGUUGUAAAGAUAUAGAAUUUUCCUGAACUGAACCUUGAACCAAAAAUCCCCUCAAUUAACCUGGAACUAAACACAGUCCCUGAAGAUAACAAGGAGUUUCAGGAUGCCACAGGGCUGUCUGUGCAGUAUGGGGCUUCUUGCUCUAUCUCUGGUAUCUGAGGCAGAUAGGCUACUCAGGCCCCUCUCUGGUCUCAAGGUGGGCUGGCUGAGAUGUCAGUUUCUUCCUCAGUGACAGCUUGGGUACAGUAUGUGUAAACUGAUUGUCAGCUGAGCUGAAGGGACUCUGCCCAUAUUGGAGUGUUCUACAAGAAGAGGUGUCAAACCUAAAGGUCUAAAAUUACUAUGAAAGGAGUAUUGGAAACCACUGGGACAAUUGUGAUCACAACUGGUGGUAGCCUUCUCGUUUGGGUGAGAAAGACAGAAAGGAGGAAGAUGUGUUAGUCAAGGUUCUCUAGAGGGACAAAACUAAUAGGAUAUAUGUAUAUAUGAGAGGGAGUUUAUUAAGGAGAAUUGACUCACUUGAUCACAAGGUAAAGUCCCAAGAUAGGCUGUCUGCAAGUUGAGGAGCAAGGAAGUCAUUGGUGGAUUGUUCUGGGUACCAAAACCUCAAAAGUAGGGAAAUCGACAGUGCAGCCUUCAGUCUGUGGUCAAAGGCUCGAGGGGCCCUGGCAGACCACUGGUGUAAGUCCAAGAGUCCCAGAAGCUGAAGAACUUGGAGUCUGAUGUUUGAGGGCAGGAAGCAUCCAGCACAGGAGAAAGACGGAUGCUGGAAGACUUAGCAAGUCUGUUCUUUCCAAUUUCUUCUGCCUGCUUUUAUUCUAGCCAUGCUGGCAGCUGAUUAGAUGGUGCCCUCCCAAAUUGAGGGUGGCUGUGCCUCUCCCAGUCCACUGACUCAAAUGUUAAUCUCCUUUGGCAACACCCUCACAGACACACCCAGGAACAAUACUUUGCAUCCUUCAUUCCAAUCAAGUUGACACUCAAUAUUAACCAUCACAGAAGGAGAAUUUCAGGCUGAGUCCAAACACUAUGGCCCCAGCCCCAGCUUCCCCUUUCUGGGUUGAAUAACCAGACUGAGCCUAAGAAAAGGAAAAGAGUUGACUUUCUCCCAAAAGGCCUGCAGCGGGUUAGAAAGCAAUGGUUUGGGGACCAUACUGAGUGCCUAGGAUGCUCUGGACCACAAAGCUUGAAGUCAAAUUGUUCAUGCACUUGUUUCAUGAUAGGAAGAGAGAGAGAGAGAGAGAGAGAGAGAGAGAAAUUUCCUUUCCUUGAAGAAUGGCAAAACACGUCUCUUGUUCUGGGGGCUAUAUCUUGAAGGGUAUCUGAUCUCCCCCUCAUGGGAGGAACUAGAAUGCCCUAAGGCAGCCGUGGCUCCUGGAGCUGAGAGAUCUUUCUGACACUUUGUGAGAGCUGCAAGGCUAAGUCUGGAGCCAGAAAAGUCCAUGUGGACAAGUGCAGAGCAAGCAGAUCUGAGACACAUGUGGGAGCAAGCUGGACAUGUCCAAAAGUCAGAGGAAGCAAGAGCAGACAUGCAUGAGCAGGCAGAUGAGGCUGGUGCCCAGGCAGCAGGCUGAGGCUCUGGCUGGGCUUUGGAUGCUCCUGAGAGUCCAGUUAGAGACCAGUGAGCAAACCCACAGUGAACUCUUAUUCCUCACGCAGCAGGACGAGGGAUUAAGCACAAAGCCUUAAAGGUCUGAGUGUCUCUUUAUCCUGACCUCAGGAAAGAGAGGCAAGUAUCAUGUUUCUAAAAGUCUGAGAAGUCUUCACAUGACAGCCUACACCAAAAGAACUCAAAUGCACAUCCACUGCAUACACGCAUGUGUGCACACAUAUACAUGUGUACACAUGCAUGCCCACACACAACCCUCUGGAAGAGGAAGUAAAGAGACUUUAUGUUUUCAGCCCCUCUUGAGGAAACUUAAACUAAGUCUUUCUGUGGGGUUAGUGGUGGAGACAGAGAGGGUCUGGGGUCACCGAGGCCGAGGUGGCUGGACCCAGAGGGUAGAGCUGAGGGGAUCCCCUGAGACUGGGAAGAUGGAGCAGAAGCAGAUGGCAGAUGGCAGCAGGUGAGAGCAGACUGGAUUUCUCCUAAAUCACCAGAUCCAGCCAACCUUUCUUUCCUUAGGGACACCUCUAGAUCCCAUUCCAAAUGAACUCUUUCUCUGACCUUUCACCUCAAUUCAGAAUUUGGGAAAUUUAGCCAUGAUCUUAGGAACACAGAGGCUUGAAACAAUCUUUUCUAACCACCCGUUUGUUCAGACUGUGUAAGUUCUGCUUCUGCAUCCAGUGUCAACACCCAAGAACCAUUUUAAAGGGGAGCCAUCCUUUGAAAUUAAACUUCUUUUAAUAAUAAAGACAGAUUUCAGGGUUGACAUAAAAGAUAGCCACAGUAAAGCCAAUCCUCCAGUGUAUAACAUUUUUCAAAGUUUCCUUCCUCUUCAUUGCUGGUGUUCAUGUACAGUCCAGAGUUAGUCUACAUUAAAUUAUAGAUUGUUUUCAGCAAUAAUGCAAACAUUUGGAAGCCUUCAAACUCUCUGAUAACUAACUUCUACAUUCUCUCUGCUAUUAUUAUAUAGAAAGGGAAAUUUUACCUGAUGCUGUUAAAGUCCUCACGAACAUAGUGAUCCGAAUUGGCUGAAGUGGAAAACUAAAUGUUAGCUGAUUUUCAAAACAAGAUUUCCACUCUGAAUUCCCAUUUUUCACAUGUGAUCAUAUGCCUUGUUGUGAAGUUGAACUAAAAAGAAACUCCAUGCCCACUGGCUUAAUGCUAGAAGAUAAUCUACAGCAUAGUAAUUUCUUAGACUUCACUUUAUUAGCCACUAAACUUGGAAUGAUUAUUUCUAUGUUCAAUUAUUAAGUCUAUAUCUCCAUUUCUUAAAAAGGUCUGAGGCAGCCCCUUUGAAUAUUAAUACGCAUUUAUUUUCACCUCUCAAAUAAAA